rnacentral:rRNA from 1 species
AACGAACGCUGGCGGCAUGCCUAACACAUGCAAGUCGAACGAGACCUUCGGGACUAGUGGCGCACGGGUGCGUAACGCGUGGGAACCUGCCCUUAGGUUCGGAAUAACUCCCCGAAAGGGGUGCUAAUACCGGAUAAUGUCUUCGGACCAAAGAUUUAUCGCGUUUGGAUGUGCCCGCGUUGGAUUAGCUAGUUGGUAGGGUAAAAGCCUACCAAGGCGACGAUCCAUAGCUGGUCUGAGAGGAUGAUCAGCCACACUGGGACUGAGACACGGCCCAGACUCCUACGGGAGGCAGCAGUGGGGAAUAGUGGACAAUGGGCGAAAGCCUGAUCCAGCAAUGCCGCGUGAGUGAUGAAGGCCUUAGGGUUGUAAAGCUCUUUUACCCGGGAUGAUAAUGACAGUACCGGGAGAAUAAGCGCCGGCUAACUCCGUG